CCUACGGGAGGCUGCAGUGAGGAAUAUUGGUCAAUGGCCGAGAGGCUGAACCAGCCAAGUCGCGUGAGGGAUGACGGCCCUACGGGUUGUAAACCUCUUUUAUCGAGGAGCAAAGAGAGGCACGUGUGACUGAUUGAGAGUACUUGAAGAAAAAGCAUCGGCUAACUCAGUGCCAGCAGCAGCGGUAAUACGGAGGAUGCGAGCGUUAUCCGGAUUUAUUGGGGUUAAAGGGAGCGGAGAUGGGUGGUUAAGUCAGUUGUGAAAGUUGGCGGCUCAACCGGAAAAUUGCAAUUGAUACUGGCAGUCUUGAGUACAGGAGAGGUAGGCGGAAUUCGUGGUGUAGCGGUGAAAUGCUUAGAUAUCACGAAGAACCCCGAUUGCGAAGGCAGCUUACUAAACUGUGACUGACAUUGAUGCUCGAAAGUGUGGGUAUCAAACAGGAUUAGAUACCCGGGUAGUC
rnacentral:rRNA from 1 species